GACUUGCUAGCUCAGUCAGUUGAGCGUGAGACUCUUAAUCUCAGAGUCAUGGGUUCAAGCCCCAUGUUGGGCA